ACCGCCGCCACCACCACCACCGCCACCACCGCCACCACCGCCACCACCGCCACCACCGCCACCGCCACCACCACCACCGCCACCACCGCCACCACCGCUUUGCAACGUGGACUGACCUUGUAUCGUGUAGGACGUGCAGACGAGGAUGGCGAUGAAUAGCCAUCGAUGGUGAUGAACAACCGUUGAUGUGCCGAGAUGUUGUCGUGGGAUCGAGCCGGCG
rnacentral:lncRNA from 1 species